rnacentral:ribozyme from 1 species
AAGAAGAAGAACAAGAGGAAUGAAUCGAUGAAUGAAUGAAUGGGCUUUGCUGGACUUCUUCUUCUUCUUCGUCUUCUUCUUCCCUUUUCAUCUUUUAUACUGCUGUAGUAGUAUUUAUAAAAAUAAAA